rnacentral:rRNA from 1 species
GUAGGUGGCAAGCGUUGUCCGGAUUUACUGGGCGUAAAGCGCGUGUAGGUGGUUUGGAAAGUCCGGGGUGAAAUCUUGCGGCUCAACUGCAAGAGGUCCUUGGAUACUUCCAGACUUGAGGGAGGCAGAGGAAGGUGGAAUUCCCGGUGUAGUGGUGAAAUGCGUAGAUAUCGGGAGGAACACCAGUGGCGAAGGCGGCCUUCUGGGCCUUUCCUGACGCUGAGGCGCGAAAGCGUGGGUAGCAAACCGGAUUAGAUACCCGGGUAGUCCACGCCCUAAACGAUGAGCACUAGGUGUGGGGGGUAUCGACCCCCUCCGUGCCGAAGCUAACGCGAUAAGUGCUCCGCCUGGGGACUACGGCCGCAAGGCUAAA